GGGGUAAGAGCCCACCAGCACGGCGGGUGACCGCCGUGGCUCGGCAAACCCCGUGCGGAGCAAGCCCAAGCAGGGGGCGAUGACGCGGCCCGCCGAGCCCCCGGGUAGGGCGCUUGAGGCGUUGGGCAACCAACGUCCCAGAUAGAUGACCACCACGGACGCUCAGCCGUCCGUACAGAAGCCGGCUUACAGGCCCACUCUCCCC
rnacentral:RNase_P_RNA from 1 species